UGGGAUUGAAGAAGUAGAGAGGAAAAUGAGAGAAAUUAAGGGAGGAGAAGAAAAAGGCGCACGCUAGCUCGAGAAAGGAAGUAAAAGAAAAGAAAAUGAGAGAAAUUAAGAGUUUUUUGAGGUUAUUCGGUGUCUAAAAAUAUUCUGAACAUUUUACUUCGUAGCGGGAGUGCAAAAAGAUCAAGAAUCGACCAAAUAAAGGUAAGAGUAUUCUGAGAUCGCAGGUGCAUAUGGCAGAGUUGGGUCCAGAUCGUUGAGUCAUAAUAGCAAGUGUAGAGUCCUCUCGAAACUAGAUCAUGGGUGUCAUUAUGUCAGUUAGAGUAAUGCUUGUGUGUCUUUGAGGUAGGUGUGCGUUAUGUAAGCCCAGGUGGGCUCAUGCUAUAGAUAGUUAUGUAAGGAUGGUUAUUAUGAAUUUUGUGAUGUAAAAGAAAAGGUAUGGUUUCAAUAAAGGUGGUGAGUGUGUUUUGGCUUGUGUUAUUGUUCGG